ACCUGGUUGGCUCAGUCAGAAGAGCAUGCGACUCUUGAUCUCAAGAUCAUGAGUUCAAGCCCCAUGUUGGGUG
rfam:Felis catus isolate Cinnamon breed Abyssinian chromosome B4, whole genome shotgun sequence.